rnacentral:lncRNA from 1 species
UCUAUAAACAAUUAUACAAAGCAGCAUAACAGAAAAAUUACAUGUUAUAUACAGAUAAAUAUAUACAUUAAUACAUUACAAAAAGAAAGCGGCACAUACAGAAUUUAAUGGCUUCAUCUUGCAGUGAAAACUCCACAAAAUCCAAAACUAAAGUUGAUACAGAGAAGAUCGAAAAAUGGCUUUUCUUUUCUUGUGGGCUUUUAGAUGUAAUCAGAAGAAAGUCGAAUAAUCCAAGUGAAAAGGCAAAGAAUCAAGAGAAUGUCCAAAGAAAGAAGCAAUAAAGGUAUUCCCCGCCCCCAGAACACGACGUCGCUUCGCCUUCACUUCAUCCACUGUUUCUCCACCAAAAUUUUUCAAACCGCACCAUUAGACCUUUCACCAGACAUAAAUAAAUACAUAUUUGUGUAUAUUAAUUCUAAUUUAAAAGAUACAAAUGUGCGUAUCUAUAGAGUCAUACUUUUCUUUGAGAAGUAUAGUUUGGUUUCAUC